ACCUGUGGCUGCAGCCUAUGGUGGGACCUCUGCAGUCAUUCCAAAGCUGGAUCAAAUAAAUGCUGCCCUUGGCAAGCGGAGGUGGAGGAACGAGCCCGUGGUGACGAAGGAGCAGCACAGCCAAGGUGCCACCACGUUUUUGGUGGCAGCAUUAGCACAAAAUAUGGGACUGCAACAGCAGCAUCACUGCAGUCCUGGGGUUUGGUGGCUCCAGCUGGGCUGUAGCCACGUGAAACCUGCUGCAAGGUGUGAGCAGGACACUGUGGGUCCAAAUAUCCCUCCUCUGACAGAUGAUCCUGGAGCAACACACCUGUCCAGAAAAUCUUAUGUUUUCUCCUACUAAGUGUUUGUCCCCAGCCCAGCUCAGCUGUUCUGCUCUCUGGGAUGCACAGGGAAGAAUU